rnacentral:rRNA from 1 species
GACGAACGCUGGCGGCGUGCUUAACACAUGCAAGUCGAACGGAAAGGCCCUGCUUGCAGGGUACUCGAGUGGCGAACGGGUGAGUAACACGUGGGUGAUCUGCCCUGCACUUCGGGAUAAGCCUGGGAAACUGGGUCUAAUACCGGAUAGGAGCCAUUUUUAGUGUGAUGGUUGGAAAGUUUUUUCGGUGUAGGAUGAGCUCGCGGCCUAUCAGCUUGUUGGUGGGGUAAUGGCCUACCAAGGCGGCGACGGGUAGCCGGCCUGAGAGGGUGGACGGCCACAUUGGGACUGAGAUACGGCCCAGACUCCUACGGGAGGCAGCAGUGGGGAAUAUUGCACAAUGGGCGCAAGCCUGAUGCAGCGACGCCGCGUGGGGGAUGACGGCCUUCGGGUUGUAAACUCCUUUCGCUAGGGACGAAGCUUUUUGUGACGGUACCUAGAUAAGAAGCACCGGCUAACUACGGG